UGGGGAAUCUUGCACAAUGGGCGAAAGCCUGAUGCAGCAACGCCGCGUGCGGGAAGACAGCCCUAGGGUUGUAAACCGCUUUCAGCAGGGAAGAAACUGACGGUACCUGCAGAAGAAGAUGCGGCCAACUACGUGCCAGCAGCCGCGGUGACACGUAGGCAUCAAGCGUUAUCCGGAUUUAUUGGGCGUAAAGAGCUCGUAGGCGGUUCGGUAAGUCGGGUGUGAAAACUCUGGGCUCAACCCAGAGAGGCCACUCGAUACUGCUGUGACUAGAGUGCGGUAGGGGAGCGGGGAAUUCCUGGUGUAGCGGUGAAAUGCGCAGAUAUCAGGAGGAACACCAGUGGCGAAGGCGCCGCUCUGGGCCGUAACUGACGCUGAGGAGCGAAAGCAUGGGUAGCAAACAGGAUUAGAUACCCUGGUAGUCCAUGCCGUAAACGAUGAAUGCCAGUCGUCGGGUAGCAUGCUAUUCGGUGA
rnacentral:rRNA from 1 species